AUUUUUCCUCACCACUGGAAAAU
rnacentral:snRNA from 1 species